rnacentral:rRNA from 1 species
UACGGAGGGGGCUAGCGUUGUUCGGAAUUACUGGGCGUAAAGCGCACGUAGGCGGCUUUGCAAGUUAGAGGUGAAAGCCUGGAGCUCAACUCCAGAACUGCCUUUAAAACUGCAUCGCUUGAAUCCAGGAGAGGUGAGUGGAAUUCCGAGUGUAGAGGUGAAAUUCGUAGAUAUUCGGAAGAACACCAGUGGCGAAGGCGGCUCACUGGACUGGUAUUGACGCUGAGGUACGAAAGCGUGGGGAGCAAACAGG